rnacentral:lncRNA from 1 species
GAGAUUGCUAUUUUAGUUACAAGUUUGAUUGGCCAAGUCCUCGAGUGGUUAAAAUGUAGAUAGAAAAGGUUGAAUCUUUUAUAUGUGGGACUCUGUACUUGACCUUUUUGGCUUUGAAGUUCUUUCUUGUUUUUAAUUUUAUCCUUUCUUCUACAAGUGAAAUCCUUUUUAGUCGACUCUUUGCAAGACAUGGUAAGAGCCUAUACAUGUCUCGUUGGUGGGAGGGGUUUAUUUUUAGUGUUAACCUUGUCUCAUUAUGGAAAGGAGAUCCUCCCCAUGAUAUAUUCUAGUUUUUUAGCAAUGAAACAAAGAUUUUAUCUGUCCUUCGUUGUGUUGCUCCUUCAGCUCUAUGUGCAACUUAGUAGUAAAUUUUGGUGGGAUUAGGGCUGCAAGUGGAUUGGAUUAACUCGCUUUCGACCAAUCCGAAACUAAUCCAGUCCAACCCGAACCAAAGUCGUUUGGACUGGGCUUGGAUUCAACAACAUGACCCAUUUCAUAUAUGGAUUAGGUUUGGAUCCUUAAGUUCUCAAUCUAAAGCUGAAUAGACCUGAACAAUCCAAAACUAGUGUACUAUAUGUUUCAGAUCCCUCCUUGAAUAUAAGAAAUUAAUCUUCUUUUCAUGAUAUAAUUUUUCAAUAAUAUGCAUUUUGAUUAUAAUUAUGUGUGGUUAACAGCCAAUCUGUAGAAUAUUUUUUAUAUAUAUUUAAAUGGUGUUUAUUAGUAUAUUAUUGCAUAAUAUUUUUAUUAUAUAAUUAGAUAAUCAAUUUAUAUAUAUUCAUUAUGAUUUAUGUUUGGACUAUUUUGGACCCUAUUCGACUCAAAAAAUCUGAUGGAUAGAUAAAAUCAAUAUUAAAUCCAAUCUAGUCAAACCCGAGGAGAAUUCUAUUAGGUUUGAUUUCAAUCUUUUGACCCGAUUCAGAUAUCGAUUGGAUUUGGGUUAUGCCCAUCUCCUAUCCAACCUGAGCUGCUUGCAGCCCUAGGUGGGAUGACUGCCUUUUUAUCCAAUUCAUCAUUUUUUUAUGUGUUUUCUUAGUUUUUCCCUCUUUUGAUUUAGCCUAUCGAAAGAUUAAAAUACAACUAUCGUUGGGCCAAACCACAAUGUUACCAAUCUCACUUUAUGUCUUGCUUCGUCCAUUUGAAAAAGUUACCUGUAACCAAACUAAAGCAAACUGAAAUAAAUUACAGCAAAUCCACUGUUUAAAUUAAUCUUGCUUCAGUUUCCUUUAAAUCUCUAAGAAAAUCUUCCUUCCAAAAUCCUAUAGAAUCGAGCUUAUACAUCAAUAUCACCUUCAGGUUUUGGAGGUACAUAGUUAAGGAAUUCUUUGUCCACUGGUUGUGACCAAGUUUUCCUUCCAAAGGAUCUUCCAUCAAGUUUGCAUUCC